rnacentral:lncRNA from 1 species
GUCCAAUACUUGAAAACCUACAUCUGUAACUUACACGUUCAUAUUACGAAGGGAAAUGUGGCUGACAAAUAUUUACACUAAAAAGACUCCACAUUUUUAUGCCUCGUCUAGUUACACUCCCAGCUGUGCCUGGCUAUGACUAGUUGUGCAUUCUAGAGCUCUUUAGAGCUACUUCAGAGUUGCAGGAUAAAGAUUUCUAGGGAAGAGGGCAGGGCCAGGCGCCCGGAGGAUUUCCAGCCACGGGUAGUUUACCGAGAGAAAAAGCUGCGGGCGUCGCUCCCUCUUUUACAUAAGAAAGGCUAAGCUCUAAAAGGCAGACAACUUCUUCCUGGCCCUUCGGAGAAGCUAGCCCUUGGAACCUAGGCCCUGAGUCGUGAGGAAGAGGAAAGACUACAUGGGGUCACUAUGUAAGGUGUUCCUGGUGACAGCUCCUGCUGAGGACCCAGCUGACAGCAAGCACCAACCUCCAGACAACAAGAGCUUUCUUCUGGCACAUCUGGUUUAUGUGAAUACAUUAGUGAGUUUCCCAGGAAGCCGCAGCAUCACACAAAGGCCCAUGAUCAUUUCACCAGGCCUCUCGAGUGUGCUUGUUUUAUUCAGAGGCUUUUUGCUUUCUUAGAAGACAUUCUCACUCAAUAAUGUGGCAAUACAGGCAAAAUCAGCAGGCCAAGUUUCUGGAAGAAGAGCCAUUUAGGAGCUGCUCCUCCUUCAGCAUGAAUGUCCACUCUCAGACUUUGACAGUGAUGAGGAUAUGCCAGAACACCUCUCUGGCCCUUCAGAGAGCACCGGCCUAGCUGGACUCCGGAUCCCUUAGGGUCCAGCUCUGACUUCCCAUGGAGGCUGUCACCAGCUCACUUCCCUGUGGAACAUCUUCCUGACUCACAACAGCAGCCAGCUCUGCCAGGACUAUGAGCUUCCAGGUACAGCCAUGUUGAGGGGCAUGGCCACAGAGCAGUGACUAAAGGGACUAGUCUACAAAGGAUGUUAAGAUAUUGCUUGGAAAAACUGCAAAUUUGGUGCCAGUUGCUGCAGGUUUUCACCAGUGACUCCUUAUGAAAUGGGCAAGAUGUUAAAAAAAAAAAAAGCUCUCUUCAAUGCACAUAGUAAACUCUUUAUCUUGAAAAUGAACAUGCGAUAAGAGAAAAAGUCAUUUUUAAUCACCACUCUCCUCUAAGCACAGUGAAUACUGGUAGCUGGAGUAUCUUCUGUUUGCUGAGCACCAACUGCAAUAUUCAUCUCUGGCAUUAAUAGCUUUUGACAUACUUGAAGCAGUAUUAAGCAGUGGGUAGGGGUAUGCCAAUUUAGAGAUAGACUCUUGGAAAGACCUCAGUGGAUCUGCUGAGGAAACAGAGAGAGGUUGAGAAGCUGGGAGUGAAGGCUGAGGAGGGUGAGAAUCAAAGGGGAAAAGGAGAGGGAUCAGAGGGGGCUGCAGGGCUCAGAAGAAAGACUCAGGAAAGGAGGCAAACCUAAUAGAAAAUUUUCAAAGCUGCAGUAUACUUUCACUUCUACAACUUUUACCAAAUGAGGUGUAAAUAUUUUUAAAGCGACAGCUUGAAGGGGUAGCCUAUUAUUAAGCUGUCUGAAGCACACGUGUCUCAGUCUAGCCAUUUUGAUGCCCCAUCCCUCAAGGGGCUCUGCUCUGUGGACCUUGCCUCCUGGCUUCAUCUCACCUGGUGCCUGGAUCACAGUCCCCAAGCAGGUGUAGACCUAGCUGGGGAGUGGGAUAAUACCACACAAAGGGGUGAAGGAGGUGGGAAAGUACAAGAGAAAGCUUUCUCUCUGAUUGAGAUGAACAUCUUAAAAAAGACCCCUUUAUGAACAAAUGUUUUUCUUGGUAUACUGGAAUUAAAACCCUACCCAAAGCGCUAGCAACAUAAACAUCGAGAAGCAAGAUAUAUCGAUCUGGGGGCAUUCGAAGGAGAAUGAUGUAUAAAGUCACAAAAGCAUGAAGUAGAAAAUGAGAUGAACACCAGGAAUACAGCAUUUCACAGAUACUAUUGAAGUAACUACAAUAGCCAGAAAAUGUAGUGUUCAGAUAAUCCACACAAAUAGGUGACUUGCAAGGAUGAGGCAGGGAAAUCUUUUCAUUAGUUGACUAAAAAUGUACAACCACAAAGAGUCUAGCUUAAGCUUCACGUUGCUCAGAAUAGCACUGCACUAGUGUAGAAUGCAGCAGGUCGUCACUGCGGAGGCUCAGAGGUUCCGACUCUGCUCCUCCGUAGCCACAGAUGAGUCUGAUGAGGAACUUUCUAUAAAUAAUAAAUGCCUCAGCCUUGUGCUGCAUUUGCCUUAUUUAAAGGUAACAGAUUACUGGAAAGGGUAAGCAAGCCCCUGGGGCUCAGGGGUAAGCCUCACAAACUCUGAGCAGCCUUUUAUGAGCUUUUGCAGUACAAUAAUCUAUAUAAACCUCCUGGUGAUUGUCUUAUCUAGAAUAAGUAUUUAGAUAACAGAGGCCAGCCCAAUUCUCCCUUUGCUUUUCCCUGGUUAUAUAACAAAAAAUGGUGGCAUAGAUGAUGUGUUCCUUCUACCCCUCCCUCUUUCCCAUUUGCACGUUAUUGAACUAUUUCCCUUAAUUCUCCUAUAAGCUGGUGGAAGAUACAGACAGAAUGGCCAGACUCUACACUUCCACUGACAUUUAAAGGUCAAGUCUCCUUGUAUCAUAAAUAAUGAUAUCUCCCUUCCACACGUAGGGAAAGGAUAACUGAAAAUUACCUAAGGUCAGAGGGGGAGGGAACCUUUGAAAGUUCACCUGGCAAAAGGACUUGAUUUACUGCAAUUUUGCUGAACACUUUAGCUGAGAUAGCUCGUUUCAUGAAGAGUUGAAGGAAGUUAACAUCAAAGGAUGAAUUCAUCCAGCUAUUGUUUUUCACCUCUGUUGUUAAUUGAUUUUAAUUUGGUUACCCUCUCAAUAAAUAAAGACUUCUAAAACUGGGUCAAUGACAUAAAUAGAAUCUGGUUUUCAAAUAUUUUCUUUCAUAUAGAGGCUUUUAAAAAAAUAUUGCUGGAC